GGGCCCAUAGCUCAUUUGGUAGAGCGCAUCGUUUGCAACGAUGAGGUGGCCGGUUCGAGCCCGGCUGGGUCCA
rfam:Candidatus Beckwithbacteria bacterium RBG_13_42_9 RBG_13_scaffold_1868, whole genome shotgun sequence.